ensembl:lncRNA
CCUUGAUUCACAUAUAUUCUCCUGAAGAGCUCCUGUAUGUCAGCCGACCAGCCAGAGAGACAAAGGUCCUUUUCUAAAGAAGCAAGCUCACCUGAUGCCGAAUUCGGGGGAACAGUGCAGGCCGCAGCUGGAAGAAAACACCGAGGAAGCACUGGGAUGCGCCAAGCCAUCUUCUGCAGUCAGCAGCAGCAUAUGUUAAUAAAUAAAUCUUUAAAUUAUAGUGGCCUCAUUGGGACAAUACCAUUGUUCCAAGGUGCUUGGGUUUGCUUAUCUUCUUGUGUUAACCACCAGGGCUUUUUUGUUUCUUGUUCUUUGUGGUAGUCUGACACAUUCAAGACUGACCGACACACGCUUACUCAUCUUCACACGCGUUUUCUCCAGCACACGCACACAGUAUCCCUCUCAUCCCUGCAGAGGAAAGUGUGUGCGCGCCUUUGAUCUGGUCGCGCUCGUGGUACACAUAUCUCUCCUGGAGCAGAGAACUACCACAUAUACUCUCUGUGUCCAGAUACGCUUGUCAUGCAUUGGGCAGGCUCAGAUCCGAGGGAAUCAAAGGUGUGGGUGAUGCCUCCAGAACCUGCAUUAAUAUGCAUGAGAGCGGGAGCUGCCCUGUGAUGUAAUUGCAGGAGCGGUGAAGGUCAGUGCCUGAGCACAAUAUCAAAGCGCACAUGUACACACAGCACUUAGGUUUUCUUUAUGGUGAUCUCCAUGCAUUUUGAAGAUGGAAGAAGGAUGACUUUGCUGAUAGGGGUGUGAAAACAGAUGAAAAUCUGUGAAUUUUGUUUUGCAAAACUCUCACAUUACAAUGGCGGGCUCUCGUGUUCCCUGCUUGGACACACAUCACAGUGAGCCUUUCAUCCAGGGAGUAAAUCUGUUUACAAGCCUCCCACCCACCCAUGUGGUCCUAUUCUCAAGGCCCAGUUGGUUGCAAGUAUAAUGGAGCUUCCUUUUAUUCAUGUUCCAGCUCUGGCCCUGAUCUGGCCUCAAGGGCGCCACUGUAUUCAAAGCCAAGCGUCCACUUGUUUAAUAGGAAUCACUGAGAAAUAAGUGUUUGUUCAAUAUAGGUCCCUUGCUGCAUUAUUAAAUGUAUAAUAUGACUUAUAAGAGGCAUGGUUUUCUUUGAAGUGAGUGAUUUAUCCGGUGGUGAAUUGAUGUUGUUUCACUUAUUCUCUGUGUAUUGCGCCGCGGUUGUUUUGUUCCCUGUGAAUCCCUGACUAGUGCAAGUGAUUGAUAGAACCAGGACACAGAACAACUUCUAUCACUCAGAUAUGACUGCUAUCAGACCCAAUUCUGUCAUAUGACUUUACUUUUGAAAUAAAUAUAUAUGUAUGUAUUAAUGUUAACUAUUUAACAGGGAGUCAAAGCAAGUCAAAAAGAACAUACCAGUCAAAUCAUCUCAACAGACCGAAUCCCGACUUGAGGACCAUCAUGUAAAACAUUUCAAAACAACCAGAUGGCUGCAGCUCUGGACUGAAAAUGUGUUUCAUGUCAACUUUAUUGUGCAAAUCACUCCGAAUCUGUUGCUAUCUAGGCUGAUAGCAUGCUUCUGCUAUAUUUCGUUGAAGCUGAUGUUUUGAGCGCAUUGAUAUAUUUACCUAAUGAUGGCACUGAUUAGAGCG